rnacentral:rRNA from 1 species
AUUGAACGCUGGCGGCAGGCUUAACACAUGCAAGUCGAACGGUGAACGAGGGAGCUUGCUCCCUCCGGAUCAGUGGCGAACGGGUGAGUAACACGUGAGCAAUCUGCCCUGGACUCUGGGAUAAGCGUUGGAAACGACGUCUAAUACCGGAUACGAGGCGUGGGGGCAUCCCCAACGCCUGGAAAGAACUUCGGUCCAGGAUGAGCUCGCGGCCUAUCAGCUAGUUGGUGAGGUAACGGCUCACCAAGGCGACGACGGGUAGCCGGCCUGAGAGGGUGACCGGCCACACUGGGACUGAGACACGGCCCAGACUCCUACGGGAGGCAGCAGUGGGGAAUAUUGCACAAUGGGCGCAAGCCUGAUGCAGCAACGCCGCGUGAGGGACGACGGCCUUCGGGUUGUAAACCUCUUUUAGCAGGGAAGAAGCGAAAGUGACGGUACCUGCAGAAAAAGCACCGGCUAACUACGUGCCAGCAGCCGCGGUAA